GCCAGGCGCGGUGGCUCACGCCUGUAAUCCCAGCACUUUGGGAGGCUGAGGUGGGUGGAUCACCUGAGGUCAGGAGAUCGAGACCAGCCUGGCCAACAUGGUGAAAUCCCAUCUCUA
ensembl:misc_RNA Metazoa_SRP Metazoan signal recognition particle RNA